AUCAUUAUUGAAAUAAACCUGAUAAGUUGCUGCUGGCUCUCUUGGGAGCAUGUGCACACUUGUCAUCUUUAUAUCUCCACCUGUGCACCUUUUGUAGACUUGGAUAUCUCUCUGAGUGCUUGUCACUCGGGUUUUGAGGAUUGACUUUUACGUCUCUCUUUACAUUUCCAAGUCUAUGUUUCUUCAUAUACUCAAUGUAUGUCUUAGAGUGUAAUUAAUGGGCCAUUGUGCCUAUAAACUUAUACAACUUUCAGCAACGGAUCUCUUGGCUCUCGCAUCGAUGAAGAACGCAGCGAAAUGCGAUAAGUAAUGUGAAUUGCAGAAUUCAGUGAAUCAUCGAAUCUUUGAACGCACCUUGCGCUCCUUGGUAUUCCGAGGAGCAUGCCUGUUUGAGUGUCAUUAAUAUAUAUCAACCUCUUCAACUUUGUUGAGUGUUGGAUGUGGGGGUUUCCUUGUGCUGGUCUCUUUAAAAAGGUCAGCUCCCCCAAAAUGUAUUAGCGGAACAGAUUGUGGAUCGUUCAUUGGUGUGAUAACUAUCUACGCUAUUGACGAAAAGCAGUUUCAGCUUCUAAUAGUCCAUUUACUUGGACAACUCUUUUUAUUAAUGUGACCUCAAAUCAGGUAGGACUACCCGCUGAACUUAAGCAUAUCAAUAAGCGGAGGAAAAGAAACUAACAAGGAUUCCCCUAGUAACUGCGAGUGAAGCGGGAAAAGCUCAAAUUUAAAAUCUGUCAGUCUUUGGCUGUCCGAGUUGUAAUCUAGAGAAGUGUUAUCCGCGCUGGACCGUGUACAAGUCUCCUGGAAUGGAGCGUCAUAGAGGGUGAGAAUCCCGUCUUUGACACGGACUGCCAGGGCUUUUGUGAUAUGCUCUCAAAGAGUCGAGUUGUUUGGGAAUGCAGCUCAAAAUGGGUGGUAAAUUCCAUCUAAAGCUAAAUAUCGGCUGGAGACCGAUAGCGCACAAGUAGAGUGAUCGAAAGAUGAAAAGCACUUUGAAAAGAGAGUCAAACAGCACGUGAAAUUGUUGAAAGGGAAGCGCUGUCCAUCAGACGUGUGGAUGAGGAUCACUUGGUGUUUUCAUCAAGGCACUCUUCAUUGACAGGCCCACAUCGGUUGGAACGGUCAGAGAAAGANCGGUGGGAAUGUAGCUCUUCGGAGUGUUAUAGCCCGCUGUGCAAUAUGGCCAGUUUCGA
rnacentral:rRNA from 1 species